rnacentral:rRNA from 1 species
GUGGGGAAUUUUGGACAAUGGGCGCAAGCCUGAUCCAGCAAUGCCGCGUGCAGGAAGAAGGCCUUCGGGUUGUAAACUGCUUUUGUACGGAACGAAACGGUCCGGGUUAAUACCCUGGGCUAAUGACGGUACCGUAAGAAUAAGCACCGGCUAACUACGUGCCAGCAGCCGCGGUAAUACGUAGGGUGCAAGCGGUAACCGGAAUUACUGGGCGUAAAGCGUGCGCAGGCGGUUUUGUAAGACAGGCGUGAAAUCCCCGGGCUCAACCUGGGAAUUGCGCUUGGGACUGCAAGGCUGGAGUGCGGCAGAGGGGGAUGGAAUUCCGCGUGUAGCAGUGAAAUGCGUAGAUAUGCGGAGGAACACCGAUGGCGAAGGCAAUCCCCUGGGCCUGCACUGACGCUCAUGCACGAAAGCGUGGGGAGCAAACAGGAUUAGAUACCCGUGUAGUCC